CCUACGGGAGGCAGCAGUGAGGAAUAUUGGUCAAUGGGCGGAAGCCUGAACCAGCCAAGUAGCGUGCAGGAUGACGGCCCUACGGGUUGUAAACUGCUUUUAUACGGGAAUAACGCGCCUUACGUGUAGGGCUUUGCAUGUACCGUAUGAAUAAGGACCGGCUAAUUCCGUGCCAGCAGCCGCGGUAAUACGGAGGAUCCGAGCGUUAUCCGGAUUUAUUGGGUUUAAAGGGAGCGUAGAUGGGUUGUUAAGUCAGUUGUGAAAGUUUGCGGCUCAACCGUAAAAUUGCAAUUGAUACUGGCAGUCUUGAGUACAGUUGAGGUAGGCGGAAUUCGUGGUGUAGCGGUGAAAUGCUUAGAUAUCACGAAGAACCCCGAUUGCGAAGGCAGCUUACUAAACUGUGACUGACAUUGAUGCUCGAAAGUGUGGGUAUCAAACAGGAUUAGAUACCCCUGUAGUC
rnacentral:rRNA from 1 species